UACAGAGGAUGCAAGCGUUAUCCGGAAUGAUUGGGCGUAAAGCGUCUGUAGGUGGCUUUUUAAGUCCGCCGUCAAAUCCCAGGGCUCAACUCUGGACAGGCGGUGGAAACUACCAAGCUGGAGUACGGUAGGGGCAGAGGGAAUUUCCGGUGUAGCGGUGAAAUGCGUAGAUAUCGGAAGGAACACCAGUGGCGAAGGCGGCCUUCUGGACCAAUACUGACGCUCAUGCACGAAAGCGUGGGGAGCAAACAGG
rnacentral:rRNA from 1 species